ACCCGCUGAACUUAAGCAUAUCAAUAAGCGGAGGAAAAGAAACCAACAGGGAUUGCCCUAGUAACGGCGAGUGAAGCGGCAAAAGCUCAAAUUUGAAAUCUGGUCCUAGACCCGAAUUGUAAUUUGUAGAGGAAAGUUUGGUGAUAUUAUCGGUCUAAGUUUCCUGGAACGGAACGUCUUAGAGGGUGAGAGCCCCGUAUUCGACUGGAUAAUAGAACCAUGUAAACUUCCUUCGAAGAGUCGAGUUGUUUGGGAAUGCAGCUCAAAAUGGGUGGUAAAUUCCAUCUAAAGCUAAAUAUUGGCCAGAGACCGAUAGCGCACAAGUAGAGUGAUCGAAAGAUGAAAAGCACUUUGGAAAGAGAGUGAAACAGUACGUGAAAUUGUUGAAAGGGAAGCGCUUAUAAUCAGACAUGUCCAUUGUGUUCCGCCGAUCAUUGAUCGGUUCACUCAUGAUUGACAGGCCAACAUCAGUUUUGACAAUUGGAUAAAGAUUUGAGGAAUGUGAUUUUCUUAGGGAAAUGUUAUAGCCUCUUAUAUAAUACAAUUAGUUGGGACUGAGGUCAGCGUUCGCUUGGAUGUUGGCAUAAUGGUUAUCAGCGGCCCGUCUUGAAACACGG
rnacentral:rRNA from 1 species